rnacentral:rRNA from 1 species
GCUUGUCUCAAAGAUUAAGCCAUGCAUGUCUAAGUAUAAACGACUUUAUACAGUGAAACUGCGAAUGGCUCAUUAUAUCAGUUAUAGUUUAUUUGAUGGUUCUUGCUACUUGGAUAACCGUAGUAAUUCUAGAGCUAAUACAUGCAUCAAACCCCGACUCCUGGAAGGGGUGUAUUUAUUAGAUGGAAACCAAUGCGGGGCAACCCGGAUUCUGGUGAUUCAUAAUAACUUUCGGAUCGAUCCUCGGAUCGAUGCAUCAUUCAAGUUUCUGCCCUAUCAGCUUUGGAUGGUAGGGUAUUGGCCUACCAUGGCUUUAACGGGUAACGGAGAAUUAGGGUUCGAUUCCGGAGAGGGAGCCUGAGAAAUGGCUACCACAUCCAAGGAAGGCAGCAGG